CCUACGGGUGGCAGCAGUGGGGAAUAUUGGACAAUGGGGGCAACCCUGAUCCAGCCAUGCCGCGUGUGUGAAGAAGGCCCUCGGGUUGUAAAGCACUUUCAGUGAGGAAGAACGCCUGGUGGUUAAUACCCAUCAGGAAAGACAUCACUCACAGAAGAAGCACCGGCUAACUCCGUGCCAGCAGCCGCGGUAAUACGGAGGGUGCGAGCGUUAAUCGGAAUUACUGGGCGUAAAGCGCGCGUAGGUGGCUUGAUAAGCCGGUUGUGAAAGCCCCGGGCUCAACCUGGGAACGGCAUCCGGAACUGUCAAGCUAGAGUGCAGGAGAGGAAGGUAGAAUUCCCGGUGUAGCGGUGAAAUGCGUAGAGAUCGGGAGGAAUACCAGUGGCGAAGGCGGCCUUCUGGACUGACACUGACACUGAGGUGCGAAGGCGUGGGUAGCAAACAGGAUUAGAUACCCUUGUAGUC
rnacentral:rRNA from 1 species